rnacentral:rRNA from 1 species
CCUGAAGGCUCCAAUAUCAUAAAAGCACCAGAUCCCAUUUGAACUUGGAAGCUAAACUGGGUCAGCCCUGGCUACUACUUGGCUGGGAGAUGACAAAUGAAUAUCAGGUGCUCUAAAUC